UACAGAGGGGGCAAGCGUUGUUCGGAAUUACUGGGCGUAAAGGGCGCGUAGGCGGCCUUCUAAGUCGAACGUGAAAUCCCUGGGCUCAACCCAGGAACUGCGUCCGAUACUGGUGGGCUCGAAUCCGGGAGAGGGAUGUGGAAUUCCAGGUGUAGCGGUGAAAUGCGUAGAUAUCUGGAGGAACACCGGUGGCGAAGGCGGCAUCCUGGACCGGCAUUGACGCUGAGGCGCGAAAGCCAGGGGAGCAAACGGG
rnacentral:rRNA from 1 species